rnacentral:rRNA from 1 species
GAAUUUGUCAAAAAGCAUGCGACGCGGCUGAAUUCGAUGCCGAGCGCGUUUUACUCCGUAAACCUGGUGGCGCGUAAACCGGAGAAGCGCACUCCACAGACCAACAGCUACGCGCGGAAGUUUCUGAUGAACUCGCAAUGGCGUCCCGAUCGCUGCGCGGUCAUUGCCGGGGCGCUGCGUUACCCACGUUAUCGCUGGUACGACCGUUUUAUGAUCAAGCUGAUUAUGAAGAUGUCAGGCGGUGAAACGGAUACGCGCAAAGAAGUUGUCUAUACCGAUUGGGAGCAGGUGGCGAAUUUCGCCCGAGAAAUCGCCCAUUUAACCGACAAACCGACGCUGAAAUAAGCAUAAAGAAUAAAAAAUGCGCGGUCAGAAAAUUAUUUUAAAUUUCCCCUUGUCAGGCCGGAAUAACUCCCUAUAAUGCGCCACCACUGACACGGAACAACGGCAAACACGCCGCCGGGUCAGCGGGAUUCUCCUGAGAAUUCCGGCAGAGAAAGCAAAAAUAAAUGCUUGACUCUGUAGCGGGAAAGCGUAAUAUGCACACCCCGCGCCGCUGAGAAAAAGCGAAGCGGCACUGCUCUUUAACAAUUUAUCAGACAAUCUGUGUGGGCACUCGAAGAUACGGAUUCUUAACGUCGCAAGACGAAAAAUGAAUACCAAGUCUCAAG